GUUACAUGCGUUACAGCUUGUAUAUAGUGACCGGAAAGGGACCAUUAACUACUUCGCGUCCUUAUAAAUUACAACAAUGCCUCGUUAAGGUCAAUGUAAAUGCCUUCGAAUGGAUUAAACUGAUCCGAGAUCAGGUAAACCCCACAGACGCUGCUUCGGUGGUUUACAGAGAUCGACACGCAACGACAAACCAUUGCGAUUUCGAAACAGUUCCUGUCAUCGCGAGACUUUGACACGCGCUCUGAACCGGUGUGUCGACACACCGAUUCACAAAAGAUUCGGAGCUUCUUCACGAAGCUCUUCUUCGAGAGCGCCCGUCACUGUACACUAAUUGACGUCCUUUUCCGUCUUCAUCUCUGAGAGAACUCAACACACACUGUUUAUGUUUCAGGUUUGAUUAAUCUUUAAGAAUGUGAUGUUUGGAUAUAUUGGCUAUGCAAUUGACAUACUGUAUUUAUUACCUGUUGAUAACAAAAUGUUAUAUUUGGCCAAUUCUGAAUCCUCCUACAUUUUUACUGCCUCUAGGAAUCAUUUUUGUAAACUGCAGUGAUAUGUAGGCUACUUAUUUAGGUGUAUAUUUCGCUAAAAAAAAAAGUGCACCAAAGUAUGUUGGCGCCAUUAGACUUGGUGGGUUUAGGUGGGUAAUAUGCAUUUAAAGUGGUAUGAUCCAUUUAUAUGUGCCAAACCUCUUAUACGUUUUUACCUUAUAACUUCUUGUGAUACUCAGACAUUUUGCUGAAAAGAUCCUGUCAUCGAUCCAUCGCAAAUUUUACCCAAGAUGCAGAGGUGGCACAUCACGACUACAAUUACAAAUCACAAUCAAUCCGGCAGCAGAAAUCAGCCAUAGGCACUUAUUUCCAAUGAGCCUUGCUUGGAAUAUUUGAUGCAAAUCGCAUUUUCCUGAUAGAGUCUCAAGCCAUUUCAUUUUGACUUCAAAGCGAAACGUUAGUGUAUCGCUUGUUGGUCUUUUCGCGCUGGUUCUGGUUGAAAAUGCUAAUUCAUUUGCUACUAGGUGCUUUAGGAGUGUUAAAAGCUCACAAAAACUGCCUUAAAUUAAACUGACCAAUCACCAGAGGGGCUUGGAAAAAUAAAUCCUCGAACGGAUCAUUUGGGCAUCGUUGAACAAAUAAGGUAAAAAUAAAUGCAUACUAUAAGAAAACUAUUAUUUGGGUACCCCGAAAACCAAAAACAUUUCCUAACCAAUUACAGGGGCCCUUUAAAUAAAACACAGGAUUUGGGAAAAUCAACUCAAGGUGUAAUUCAGGCGGGAGUUCAGUGAAGGCAAACUUCAAUGUUUUUUUUUUACUCUCAGUAAAGUGAUGGAGAUAAGACGGUAACUAAGAUUGUAACUUAGUCACUUCUUUCUUCUUGGGUUGGUCCUUGGUGCUGUACGUUAAUAAUUAAUAAACGUAUUAAUAUAUUUCUCUGUCGCCGCUCUCCAUAGUGCUAAAGUCGUCUGUGCUGCUUUGUGAAGGACCAUACAUCUUUCUGAUCGACACUCUUGAUUGAAGGAGCAAUGAAAAUAUGCUUUAGGCAUAUAUUCCCCUAUAAAAUCAAUUAGAUGCAAUUAGAUUUUUUGCCUCUAAUCGACUAUUCUAUAAUUGGAAAGUUGAUUCCAAUUUUCUCUUAAUAUUGUUAUGCGGCGAUUUAAUUUAAUUCUUACUGUUUAUGUCUGUAUCUGCCUUAUUAAGAAGAAAAAUGGACCGGCCAGUUUGCACGUUUUUGUUGUUAUAUGGGACCAUUUGCUUAGAAUUUCUGUUCUGUAUUUUUGUGCCGCAAGAAGUCAAAAGAAAAGGUCACUCUAAACGCUGAUUUUGCUGAUUUGCUGACAGUUAUGCCAUUAAAAGACACAAAAUACACACUAACUAACAUAUCGCCGAGGUUUCCAAAAAGUAAUGAACACUAGAAGCACUAAAAUUCUCACACUUUUUAUUCUUUUUUGCACAAAUGAGUUUUGAUUAGUAAAGAGUGAUUGACUCAAUUACUUGAAGUCAUAUUAUGACUUCGAUACGACACUAACAUGCUGAGAGAUUUGAAAAGGAAUGCUUUUAGCGUCACACAUAACCAGAUGUAUGUUCGGUAGCUCACAGAGAAGUACUUGAGAGACGAGGAGCUCUGCUCGAAUCUUCUGCUUCUGCUCAAAUCUAUAAAAAGGAUCAACAAAUGCAUUUUUAACACUAUCAGGCAGGUUUAUAGUUGAAUUCGGUUUAGGGCAAAUAGCCAGUAUUUGAAUUCUGAACCAGCACAAUACAUACCAAUAUUAAUGUGAUAAAAAGGUUGUAUUGAAGCUGUCGCACAUCGGUACACAUUUUUAUGAGACUAGGAUGAAAAUGGCAUACACAGGCACGCUGUUUGAGGAAAUUUCGUAUAAAACAUAUGAGUAAGUAAAUCAUAGAGACAGAAAAGUCACUGUAUAACAAAAACGGUAAGGUAUAAAAUGUCAAUUUUUAUUUUUUAUGUAGCUGUUCUCAGUUCUCUAAUGGCGCUCGUGCACCACACGUGUCCUAGCUCUUGACGUUUUGAUAAUAACAAUUUUAUAAACAGCCUGUUUACGUGUCGAUUUGUAUGUUUGUGUAAUUAAAAACAUCUGGUUCGCUCAUUUAUUGCAUGAAUGGCGUGUUCCUAGUUUGCACACUAGAUGUCGCUCUAAUAUAGUACAGUAUUUUUAAUAAAUAAAUAAAUAAAUAGCAAAUAUGCCAAGGAAAAAGGCUGUAUAGAGUAAUAGAUAGAAUAGAAUAGAAUAAAAAUGAUGUGCAAUCAGACAUGACUGUCUGAAAAAAGGAAGAAAUUCAAAACUUUUCCUUACAAAAAUAAAAUAAAAUAAAAUAAAAAAAAAAAAUUUUUGGCAGUGGGCAAACAGUCCUUACCAUAUAAUUUAAUCUUGUACGUAGUAAAACUGUGUUCAUAAAAAUAAUAAUCUGUAAUAAAUAAAACCAUGGUUAUUUAUUUCUUUUAAAAAUAAUAACUGCAUUAAAUAUAAUUAUCAUUAUCUAUUUUUUUCAACCCUAAUUUAAGUAAUAGCGCUGGAUAAUUUGACAAAGGAAAUUCAUCAUAGCUCAUCUCUCCAGGACUUCUGUCGUUUUAAUGGUGUUUUUGCUAUUUAUGAGUUCCAGCAAAGAAGAUAAGAUCAAUGACAACAUUUGGGACUACUCAUACAAGAGCAUGUCAUAUCUGAUAGCACACCGAUAUUUACUUCACGGAGACGUCUAUUUGACGUCCACAUUCUCAUCUGCAGACGUCAUUCUCAGUGUGUUCACAAGCACUAAGACCAGGGUUGGACUGGCCGUCUGGAAGCUCUGGAGGUGUCUUGAAGCCCUGGCUGGUCCAUCAUCAAAAAAAAAAAAAUUAAGUUGAGGGGUUUAACAAAAAGGGGGUGCCAAUCAAUCUAUUUUGCUUAUAAUAAACCGAAACUGAGAGUGAGCUUUGAAUCCUAAUGUAAACACGCUACAGCAGGGGUUUCGUGAUGUUAUUCGCCAUAAAUGCGAAGAUCCUAAAAGCUAUAAUCAACAGAGAUCCAGCAACAGCAGAAAUCAACACUACCACAGAGACUGAGGCUGGAGAACAUAAAAGAGAGUGAAAGAGAGGCAUUAACGAGAGAGUCACAUGACCCACGUUCUCCGCCGAACACAACAAUGAACAAUUUGAUGAUGAAGAGGAAGAUGAUGGUGAUGUACAGUGUGAAGAGUUACUGCUGAUGACAGGAACAGGCAGAUGAGCUGAAAACAUGAGGAUAAAG